GCCAAUCAGGCCCGGCACCACCCCUCACGUCACCGCCCAGCCGGGCCCGCAGCCCGGCGCCCCAAGUUUGGGGAAGGCCGAGCUCCAGUCUGUCUGCCAGUUGGCGCCCGAGAUUCGCCCAGGCUGGUGCUCCUCCAGGCUUCCAGAGACCCUCCGGGGCCUCCAGGUCCACGCGUGGAAAGUAAAAGGCCGCCCCUCUUGCGGUGCGCCUGAUGUUGGGGGACUAAGCCUACAGCCUGGGUAGGACUCCAGUGACCUUUUCCAGCCAGAACCAGUUUGUGACUGGGCCUAGACUGGACCACAGCCGGCGUUCCAGUGCUUGGAGAAUUUCCUCGAGGUUCCACGCGCGUCUUGGAAGCCAGAAAAGCAAGGUGUCCAGACGCUGCGCCUUCAACCCGCGCCGCCGCCCAGAAGUGCAGGGCAGACACCUAGGAGCUGAACUCUGACACACACCUUCGGCUCCCCACUACCGGGUGAGGACUUGGCGUCUACGACUCCCGCCGGCCGAAACACCUGGAACCACAGACGCACCUCGGCCCAGCGCCCCUGCUGGCUCGCCAGAGCACUGCAUUCUAAGGAAGAAAGAGAUCCCCUUUACCUGACCAGACCGACCAGACCCGGCAAUUAAGGACACUCCACCUUCAAAUAUGUGCAUUUUUCAGAAGGCUUUCUGAGGAGGAAUUAGCCGAAGGGGAAAGAAAUGUAAAUGCAGGGAUUUCGGGCACCUAGGAGUUCAGCCUUUUCCACUGUGGGCCCUUACUCUGAUCCAAGCUCCGAGCAAAAGAGUAUUUUGCAGCUGGAUGCACUGAGCCACGUGGGUACACGCUUUUAGAAACAGGAAUUCGAAGUCAGACCUGGGAAAAUUUUUAUUUUCAGCCUUCAGACCUUUUUGCUUUUAUGUUGAUCCCAUGAUUCUCCUAAGACUGAAACAUGAAAGUUCAAGAAACCAGUUGGAUUUUGUAUAUUCAUAGAAAAACAAAAAGGAUGCACACUGACUGCUAACCACGGGUAUCCCAAGUGUGGGAUUGGAGUGUGGGAAGGAGGGAGAUGAAUUUUAUACCCUUAUACUGACUCUGCAUUUUGUAUUUUUCCAGUUAUAUUAACUGUCACAAUUUAGAAAGGUAAUAAAACAUUUUUUAA